rnacentral:rRNA from 1 species
AACGAACGCUGGCGGCAUGCCUAACACAUGCAAGUCGAACGAGACCUUCGGGUCUAGUGGCGCACGGGUGCGUAACGCGUGGGAACCUGCCCUUAGGUUCGGAAUAACUCCCCGAAAGGGGUGCUAAUACCGGAUAAUGUCUUCGGACCAAAGAUUUAUCGCCUUUGGAUGGGCCCGCGUUGGAUUAGCUAGUUGGUAGGGUAAAAGCCUACCAAGGCGACGAUCCAUAGCUGGUCUGAGAGGAGGAUCAGCCACACUGGGGAUGAGACACGGCCCAGACUCCGACGGGAGGCAGCAGUGGGGAAUAUUGGACGAUGGGCGAAAGCCUGAUCCAGCAAUGCCGCGUGAGUGAUGAAGGCCUUAGGGUUGUAAAGCUCUUUUACCCGGGAUGAUAAUGACAGUACCGGGAGAAUAAGCACCGGCUAACUCCGUG